GUCGGUUCGCCGCCCGUCGGUGUCAACUGGCAUGUCCUGUGGAACGUCCUGCCGGUGGCGGUCCGGGCUUUCGGCUUGCGUAAGGGCUCACGCCCGAAGCAGGUCGGACAGUACCGGCCGCCGGUCCAAUCCCGCCACGGUGCUCUUCACCGAGUGUCGAGGUGGGCCGGCACGUUUACUUUGAACAAAUUAGAGUGCUUAAAGCAGGCUGGUGUCCGCCUGAAUACUGUGUGCAUGGAAUAAUAGAAUAGGACCUCGGUUCUAUUUUGUUGGUUUUCGGAACCCGAGGUAAUGAUUAAUAGGGACAGGCGGGGGCAUUCGUAUUGCGACGUUAGAGGUGAAAUUCUUGGAUCGUCGCAAGACGAACCUAAGCGAAAGCAUUUGCCAAGUAUGUUCUCGUUAAUCAAGAACGAAAGUUAGAGGUUCGAAGGCGAUCAGAUACCGCCCUAGUUCUAACCAUAAACGAUGCCAGCCAGCGAUCCGCCGAAGUUCCUCCGAUGACUCGGCGGGCAGCUUCCGGGAAACCAAAGCUUUUGGGUUCCGGGGGAAGUAUGGUUGCAAAGCUGAAACUUAAAGGAAUUGACGGAAGGGCACCACCAGGAGUGGAGCCUGCGGCUUAAUUUGACUCAACACGGGAAACCUCACCAGGCCCGGACACCGGAAGGAUUGACAGAUUGAGAGCUCUUUCUUGAUUCGGUGGGUGGUGGUGCAUGGCCGUUCUUAGUUGGUGGAGCGAUUUGUCUGGUUAAUUCCGAUAACGAACGAGACUCUAGCCUGCUAACUAGGCGAUUCCGGUACCCACAAUAGUGUUACCGGCGAUUCAAUUUCUUCUUAGAGGGACAGGCGGCUCCUAGCCGCACGAGACUGAGCAAUAACAGGUCUGUGAUGCCCUUAGAUGUCCUGGGCCGCACGCGCGCUACACUGAAGGAAUCAGCGUGUCUUCCCUGGCCGACAGGCCCGGGUAACCCGUUGAACCUCCUUCGUGCUAGGGAUUGGGGCUUGCAAUUGUUCCCCAUGAACGAGGAAUUCCCAGUAGGCGCGAGUCAUAAGCUCGCGCCGAUUACGUCCCUGCCCUUUGUACACACCGCCCGUCGCUACUACCGAUUGAAUGAUUUAGUGAGGUCUUCGGACUGGUGCGCGGCGAUCGGUUUAUACUGCCGGCCGCCGAUGUUGCUGGAAAGAUGACCAAACUUGAUCA
rnacentral:rRNA from 1 species